rnacentral:rRNA from 1 species
UAACGCGUGAGAAUCUAGCUUCAGGUUCGGGACAACAGAGGGAAACCGCUGCUAAUACCGGAUAGGCCGAAGGGUAAAAGAUUAAUCGCCAGAAGAUGAGCUCGCGGCCGAUUAGCUAGUUGGUGGGGUUAGAGCCUACCAAGGCGACGAUCGGUAGCUGGUCUGAGAGGACGAUCAGCCACACUGGGACUGAGACACGGCCCAGACUCCUACGGGAGGCAGCAGUGGGGAAUUUUCCGCAAUGGGCGAAAGCCUGACGGAGCAAGACCGCGUGAGGGAGGAAGGCUCUUGGGUUGUAAACCUCUUUUAUCAGGGAAUAAUCCAUGAAGGUACCUGAGGAAUCAGCAUCGGCUAACUCCGUGCCAGCAGCCGCGGUAAUACGGAGGAUGCAAGCGUUAUCCGGAAUCAUUGGGCGUAAAGCGUCCGCAGGUGGAAGUUCAAGUCGAUUGUCAAAGGCAGUAGCUUAACUACUGACAGGCAGUGGAAACUGAAAGACUAGAGUGAGGUAGGGGUAGAGGGAAUUCCCGGUGUAGCGGUGAAAUGCGUAGAGAUCGGGAAGAACACCAGUGGCGAAAGCGCUCUGCUGGACCUUAACUGACACUGAGGGACGAAAGCUAGGGGAGCGAAUGGGAUUAGAUACC